AUUGGACGCUGGCGGCAUGCCUUACACAUGCAAGUCGAACGGUAACGGGUCCUUCGGGAUGCCGACGAGUGGCGAACGGGUGAGUAAUAUAUCGGAACGUGCCCAGUAGUGGGGGAUAACUGCUCGAAAGAGCAGCUAAUACCGCAUACGACCUGAGGGUGAAAGGGGGGGAUCGCAAGACCUCUCGCUAUUGGAGCGGCCGAUAUCAGAUUAGCUAGGUGGUGGGGUAAAGGCCUACCAAGGCAACGAUCUGUAGUUGGUCUGAGAGGACGACCAGCCACACUGGGACUGAGACACGGCCCAGACUCCUACGGGAGGCAGCAGUGGGGAAUUUUGGACAAUGGGCGCAAGCCUGAUCCAGCAAUGCCGCGUGCAGGAAGAAGGCCUUCGGGUUGUAAACUGCUCUUGUCAGGGAAGAAAUCUUCUGGGCUAAUACCCCGGGAGGAUGACGGUACCUGAAGAAUAAGCACCGGCUAACUACGUGCCAGCAGCCGCGGUAA
rnacentral:rRNA from 1 species